CAUGCCAUCAUCAAUAAUUUGUGUCUUUUUCUAUUAGAAUGAUUCAUGCUUGUCUUGCAUUACGAUUUCAAAACCCCGCAGUAGCGUGCGAACAAUUUUCUAGUUAUCUAUUAUAAAGUUGGAGGGGAAUUGGCAUGUUCAUGGCCACAGUCAAACAAAUGCCCCUCGAUUUCACCUUAUUUGCAACAAUACCAACCAAAUUAGGCUGGGUUGGGAGGGUAAUUCUCAAAAGUUCAGAGGGUGAUUUUGUCCAUAUGGUUUAGCACGGAGCCACUCGAUUUCAUGCUAUUUACAACAAUACCAGCCAAAUGGGGGCUGGGAUGGGAGGAUAGCUCUUAAAAGUUUAGAGGGUAAUUUUGUCCGUUUGGUUUAGCACGGAUUGAUGGGUUACACGCGUGCGCUCUCCUCUCAUAUCUUGCUCUUCCUGUUUCUGUCCUUCUCAAACCCUAGCAGCCACAACUCCAUCUCUGGAAUAGCAUCGGCUCCUGCUUCCUAAAACCAAAACCACACAAACUGGCCUCUAUUUCUGUAACUCGAGAGCUUCGGUGAGAUGAAGGAGACGAGCAGGGAGAUGGACUCGAGUCCGCCAACGGCGGAAGAGAUCUUCAGGGAUUACAGUGCUCGGAGAACCGACCCCGUCCACUCUUUAACUAACGAGCGUUCAUCAUCGUUGAAGAUGCCUCUUCUCGAGUCUUCUGCUUCAUUUCGUUUCUCUCAUCCAAAAAAUUAAUCGCUGCUUCUCAAACUCUCUCUCUCUGCCACACCAGCCGCCGCAGCCGCUCAAAGGCUGGGUUUCCAAAGGUGGCGUUUUGUAAAACCCUCCCUACUCAAGGCAAGUAAUUUCAUGCCCAAUUUGGAAUUUAAAUCUAUUUAUUUUUUUAAAUUGAUUUGGGGUUACUAAAAUCAGCUAUGGAAAAUCUACCACUGCGAGAAAACUCAAGAUUCCAUUAUUCAAGUUUUGGGUUCUCUUCAGACUUCACAAUUGUGAACUGGGCAGCCAGUGCAACUGGUUACAGAGCUUCCUCCAGUUUUGACUGAAUGCCGUGUUACAAAAUCAGAUCUGGAGCUUGCCCUUAUCCAGUUUGCCAAUGACACAAGCUCUGAAGCUCACGUUGAGGUCAUGAGAAAAGUUAGGGUAAGCAUGUACGAGUAUCAGCUGGAAAGCAUGUUUGUUCACUACAUGAGGCGGAUAAUUGUUCAGUUGUAUAUGGAUUUGCUUUUGUUGGACUGUGCUGCUUUAAAGUUCUGGAUUGGUGCUAUCAGUGAAGAUGGCCCCUGUGCUGCGUUGGGGACUUUCUUGAUUCAAAAACCAGCUGUGAUCUGUUGCAGGAAAGAUUCAGAAAAGAAAACACCUCUAAAUACCGAAGAUUAUGUCUAACUUUAGCAUACUUGAAACCGCAGAAUCACUGCCACCAACAGCUAUGGUUGAGCAGUUCGUCGUUGUCCAGUAUUCCUCCGAAAUUCAACUAUCUCUCUUUACUCUCUCUGACUCAGUGCGUCUCUAUUCUUCCAGGCCCAGGGUUGUGAUUCUGGAUGCUAACAUGAUUAACCACAGGUUGGUGUUCCUUGGGAACUUGGUGCGGAGAAAUGCAAGCAUGUUGCAGCAUAUUAUGGGUUUACUUUGACGACACGAGGAGAUUCAGAGUUGAAUUUGAUGAUUUUUUUGAGGAAGGAAUAAUAUCAGAAAUUGAAGUUGGAUUAGGUCUGUGUGGAGAGCUACGGUAUCCUUCUUAUCCUGAACGGCAUGGUUGGAAAUAUCCUGGUAUUGGUGAAUUCCAGGUACCUUUAUAAAUGAUCCCUCCUUUCAUUAGUGGCAUGCAUAAUAGCUAGGGACUGACGGUUAUUUCUAAAGUUAAGUUAAUAGCCCUUCAUUCAUCUGUGGUUAUGACCUUAAGCCUGUAGCUCAUUUGAUUUUUUACUUCUAUCAGAACUUUGAAGUAGUUCUCUGAUUCAACCUGGUUUAGUCGAUCCCCUUUUGGCGCGAUGCCAAUUUACGGUUCUUAUCAUGUAAAUUGGUUGCUUCUGUUUCUUAUGGAAACAGAGGAUUUUUUGCAACCACAUCUUGUGUAAUCAAGAACGUUCAAUUUUGUCCUGUUAAUUGUACAAUGUCUUUUCAUAUCAGCUAUGUUGAAUGUAUAUAAAAACCAAGCUGCUUAUCUUACCGAUCCAUUUCACUCA